rnacentral:rRNA from 1 species
GACGAACGCUGGCGGCGUGCUUAACACAUGCAAGUCGAACGGAAAGGCCCUGCUUGUGUGGGGUUCUCGAUGGGCGAACGGGGGAGUAACACGUGAGUAACCUGCCCUUGACUUUGGGAUAACUUCAGGAAACUGGGGCUAAUACCGGAUAGGAUCUCCUGCAGCAUGGUGGGGGUUGGAAAGUUUCGGCGGGUGGGGUUGGACUCGCGGCUGAUGAGCUUGUUGGUGGGGUAGUGGCUUACCAAGGCUUUGACGGGUAGCCGGCCUGGGAGCGUGACCGGCCACAUUGCGACUGCGGUACGGCGCAGACUCCUACGGGAGGCAGCAGUGGCGAAUCUUGCACAACGAGCGCACGCCUGAUGCGGAAGCCCCCGGUGCGGGAUGCCGGCCUUUGGGUUGUGAACCGCUUUAGCCUGUGACGCCGCGUGAGUGACGGUACUGAGUAAAGAAGCACCGGCUAACUACGUG